CGUCUGGAGAGCGACUGCCACCGCAGUCCACCGAAGGGGCAAGCAGAGCCAGGCUCUGUAAACUCUCAGGUAUCAGGGACAGGGGGAG
rnacentral:ncRNA from 1 species